rnacentral:rRNA from 1 species
UACAGAGGGUGCGAGCGUUAAUCGGAAUUACUGGGCGUAAAGGGCGCGUAGGCGGCCUUCUAAGUCAGACGUGAAAUCCCUCGGCUCAACCGGGGAACUGCGUCUGAGACUGGAAGGCUUGAAUCCGGGAGAGGGAUGUGGAAUUCCAGGUGUAGCGGUGAAAUGCGUAGAUAUCUGGAGGAACACCGGUGGCGAAGGCGGCAUCCUGGACCGGUAUUGACGCUGAGGCGCGAAAGCCAGGGGAGCAAACGGG